UCUUACGGCCACACCGCCUGGUUCCACGCCCGAUCUCAUUUGAUCUCGGAAGACAAGAUAGGUUGGGCCUGGUUAGUAUUUUGAUGGGAGACCGCCUGGGAAUACCAGGUGCUGUAAGCU
ensembl:rRNA 5S_rRNA 5S ribosomal RNA